rnacentral:rRNA from 1 species
GACGAACGCUGGCGGCGUGCUUAACACAUGCAAGUGGAGCGACGAACCGGGGCUUGCCCCGGGGCAAAGCCGCGAACGGGUGAGUAACACGUGGGUAACCCACCUCGAUGACCGGGACAACCCGAGGAAACUCGGGCUAAUACCGGAUGUGCUCCUCUCUCUCAAGGGAGAGGAGGAAAGAUAGCUUCGGCCUUCGCAUCGAGACGGGCCCGCGGCCCAUUAGCUUGUUGGUGGGGUAACGGCCUACCAAGGCUGCGAUGGGUAGCUGGUCUGGGAGGACUGUCGGCCAAACUGGGACUGAGACACGGCCCAGACUCCUACGGGAGGCAGCGGUGGGGAAUCUUGCACAAUGCGCGAAAGCGUGAUGCAGCAACGCCGCGUGGGGGAAGAAGGCCUUCGGGUUGUAAACCCCUUUCAGUUGGGACGAAGCUCCGCCGGUUAAUAGCCGGCCGGAGUGACGGUACCUUCAGAAGAAGCCCCGGCUAACUACGUGCCAGCAGCCGCCGUAACAC